AGAACGAACGCUGGCGGCAGGCUUCAUACAUGCAAGUCGAGCGGUAAGGCCCCUUCGGGGGUACACGAGCGGCGAACGGGUGAGUAACAGGUGGAUAAUCUACCUUUCGGCGGGGGACAACGGUUGGAAACGGCCGCUAAUACCCCAUGUGGUUACCGGUUCUUCGGGGCCGGUAAAGAAAGGCGCUUCACGGCGUCACCGAGAGAUGAGUCCGCCCCCCAUUAGCUAGUUGGCGGGAUAACAGCCCACCAAGGCAACGAUGGGUAGCCGGACUGAGAGGUUGGCCGGCCACACUGGGACUGAGACACGGCCCAGACACCUACGGGUGGCAGCAGUAGGGAAUAUUGGACAAUGGGCGAAAGCUUGAUCCAGCUAUGCCGCGUGGACGAUGAAGGCCUUCGGGUCGUAAAGUCCUUUUUUGAGGGAAGAACAAGCCGGGGAGGAAAUGCCCCGGCCCUGACGGUACCUCAAGAAUAAGCAACGGCUAACUCCGUGCCAGCAGCCGCGGUAAUACGGAGGUUGCAAGCGUUGUUCGGAUUUACUGGGCGUAAAGGGAGCGCAGGCGGUUUGGUCAGUCUAAAGUGAAAGCCCGGGGCUCAACCCCGGAAGUGCUUUGGAUACUGCCAGGCUUGAGUACGCGAGAGGAGUGCGGAAUUUCAGGUGUAGCGGUGAAAUGCGUAGAUAUCUGAAGGAACACCAGUGGCGAAAGCGGCACUCUGGCGCAGUACUGACGCUGAGGCUCGAAAGCGUGGGGAGCGAACGGGAUUAGAUACCCCGGUAGUCCACGCCGUAAACGUUGUGCACUAGGUGUGGGAGGUAUCGACCCCUUCCGUGCCGGAGCUAACGCAUUAAGUGCACCGCCUGGGGAGUACGAUCGCAAGAUUG
rnacentral:rRNA from 1 species